GACGAACGCUGGCGGCGUGCUUAACACAUGCAAGUCGAACGGAAAGGCCCUGCUUGCAGGGUACUCGAGUGGCGAACGGGUGAGUAACACGUGGGUGAUCUGCCCUGCACUUCGGGAUAAGCCUGGGAAACUGGGUCUAAUACCGGAUAGGAGCCAUUUUUAGUGUGAUGGUUGGAAAGUUUUUUCGGUGUAGGAUGAGCUCGCGGCCUAUCAGCUUGUUGGUGGGGUAAUGGCCUACCAAGGCGGCGACGGGUAGCCGGCCUGAGAGGGUGGACGGCCACAUUGGGACUGAGAUACGGCCCAGACUCCUACGGGAGGCAGCAGUGGGGAAUAUUGCACAAUGGGCGCAAGCCUGAUGCAGCGACGCCGCGUGGGGGAUGACGGCCUUCGGGUUGUAAACUCCGUUCGCUAGGGACGAAGCUUUUUGUGACGGUACCUAGAGAAGAAGCACCGGCUAACUACGUG
rnacentral:rRNA from 1 species